GAUGAACGCUGGCGGCGUGCCUAACACAUGCAAGUCGAGCGAGCAGUUCGGGGCUAGCCUCGGACGAGGUAGUAACGCGUGGGAACGUGCCCUUUUCGGCGGCAUAGUCCUAGGAAAGGGGUGAUAAUGCCGCAUAGGCCCUUUUACGGAAAGAUUUAUCGGACAAGGAUCUGCACGCGUUGGAUUAGGUAGUUCGUGGGGUAAUGGCUCACUAAGCCGAGGAUCCAUAGCUGGGUUGGGAGGCUGAUCAGACACACUGGCGCUGAGACACGGCCCAGACUCCUACGGGAGGCAGCAGUGGGGAGCCGUAGAAAAUGGGGUCAACCAUGAUCUAGUUAGGACGGGUGAGUGAUGAAGGCCUUAGGGUUGUAAAGCUCUUUUAGCUGGGAAGAUAAUGACGGUACCAGAAGAAGAAGCCCCGGCUAACUCCGUG
rnacentral:rRNA from 1 species